AGUAACGGGACGGGACCAUUUCCGGCGCUUUCCAUUGCCGCCACACCGGAACUGACGAUACUCCCUAAGCGGCGCACGCGCAAGAUGAUAGAACGGGACUGAUGCUGAUCGCAUAGAUUUGUUUUGAGUAGACUCACACAGAAAACACACCUCCGGGGUUACUUUGAGCGCCCCGCCACCGCCACCGCCCUUCCCGGGACUGAAGUACUGACUGCCCAUCGAAAACAAUAGAUAAAUCAAAGAUGCUGGUGUAAAAGUAUUUCAGAAGCAAGGCGGUAACUGCAGUUACGGAUUCUGAACAGAAGAGUGCAUGAGUUAGCUUUUCAUUGACAACAUGAAACUAUGAGCAAACAUUGGAUUUAGGAAUAGGCAAAAUUCAGAGGAUGAAUUUGAGGCCCAGUUUUUGUGCCACAAUAAAUUUGUCUUUACAGCU